UGGGGAAUUGUUCACAAUGGGCGCAAGCCUGAUGACGCAAUGCCGCGUGGAGGAUGAAGGUCUUCGGAUUGUAAACUCCUGUUGCCAGGGACGAAUGGCUCCGACCUAAUACGUCGGAGAAUGACGGUACCUGGUGAGGAAGCCCCGGCUAACUCUGUGCCAGCAGCCGCGGUAAUACAGAGGGGGCAAGCGUUGUUCGGAAUUACUGGGCGUAAAGGGCGCGUAGGCGGCCCGCUAAGUCGAACGUGAAAUCCCCAGGCUCAACCUGGGAACUGCGUCCGAUACUGGCAGGCUUGAAUCCGGGAGAGGGAUGUGGAAUUCCUGGUGUAGCGGUGAAAUGCGCAGAUAUCAGGAGGAACACCAGCGGCGAAGGCGGCGCUCUGGGCCGGUACUGACACUGAGGAGCGAAAGCGUGGGUAGCAAA
rnacentral:rRNA from 1 species